rnacentral:rRNA from 1 species
UACGUAGGGAGCAAGCGUUGUCCGGAAUCAUUGGGCGUAAAGCGCGCGUAGGCGGCCCUGUAAGUCCGUUGUGAAAGUCAAAGGCUCAACCUUUGAAAGCCGAUGGAUACUGCAGGGCUAGAGUCCGGAAGAGGCGAGUGGAAUUCCUGGUGUAGCGGUGGAAUGCGCAGAUAUCAGGAGGAACACCAAUAGCGAAGGCAGCUCGCUGGGACGGUACUGACGCUAAGGCGCGAAAGCGUGGGGAGCGAGCCGG